rnacentral:rRNA from 1 species
UACGUAGGCAGCAAGCGUUGUUCGGAGUUACUGGGCGUAAAGCGUGCGUAGGCGGUGUCUUAAGUUUGUUGUGAAAUCUCCCGGCUUAACCGGGAGGGUGCGGCGAAUACUGAGAUGCUGGAGUGCGGGAGAGGUAAGCGGAAUUCCUGGUGUAGCGGUGAAAUGCGUAGAUAUCAGGAGGAACACCUGCGGUGUAGACGGCUUACUGGACCGUAACUGACGCUGAGGCACGAAAGCGUGGGUAGCAAACAGG